UAUCGAUCGAGUGCCGCACUGCUGUUA
rnacentral:piRNA from 1 species